rnacentral:lncRNA from 1 species
GGUAUCAGGGCUUAACUUAGAUGAUAAACACGAGUCAACCAUCACAAGUCACUCAUCUACUCUCCUCUUUGUGAUCAUCCUGUGUAGGCGAUUCUAAAUUUAUCGCAAGAUCAGGAUUAAGCAGACGAAAGAAAAAAAAAAAAAAAAGAAACGGUCUUGGCAACAUCACUACUCUGGCUGCUUGUGAAAGCAACAAGUGACUUCAUCCAACAUUCACCUGCGCAAGGCAGUUCCGAAGUGGGAACACUCACCUGCCCAUGGCAGUUGCGAGGAGACCCGAGGCUCUGCUGGGGAAAUCCCUUGGUCUGCCAAAGCUUUUUUCUUUCCGCAUGAAAGACGUCCCAUAGCAGUUCAGUUGGAGAACUCCAGAAAUGGGAGCCUCUGUUUCCGGUCCUGAGCGCUCACAGGCCACCUGGGAGCCUCCUACCGGCCUGGACAGGCCAGCCUCUCCCUCGAAGUCUCCAGAAGGAUCAGUUUCAGAAGGCUGCAGGUGUGUGCAGAGUUUGUUGCUGGGAUGGAGCGCUGGUGGGAAGACAGCCCGCGGGUGUUAACCUCCAUCAAGGUCAAGCUAUCCAGCCUGGCUUGUGCUGCCCGGAGUUUGCUACGUGAAUGUCCCGGAUCUCAUGUGCCAUCUGCAUGGUGUCUGCAUGCUACUUUAGCAGGGGUUUGGAUUUCUGCACUCCUCCUGAUGAUCUCUGUCCAGUUUUCAUGGCCCUCACUUGCCUCUGAGGAUGAAAUAAUUUUUAAGAAACACUCUCCUUGCGCGUCACCUUUCCUGUCAUCUUUCUUCACGAUUCUGCUCCCGCCAUGGUAAGUGAGCCCUUAUGAAGCAACACCUGCCAGGAAACGACUGCUUUUGGAGAUCUCAAUGUGACAUGCCAGGAAACAGAUGAGCUGAAGAAAGACUGUCAUUUUAUCUGGUAGGACACAUUCAAGGUAGGCCAUAAAAUUUUGUGAGAGACAUAAGCAAAGGUGUGUGACUUAGGAACUCUUCCCUUUCUUAAACCGUAUUUCUCUUUUUUAUACUGUCACAC